CAGAUGCUACAAUGAAUUCUUCUUGACACAGUCAGACAGAACAAAAGAAAUUUUCCGAAAUGUCAAUUGCAAAAUUUAUAGUGAAAAUUAAACAAUAUAAACAAUAAACACCAUGUAGUGAUCCUAUUCGGAUUCAGCCAUCGACUAAUUGCAAAUAUGAAGUAUACAAGUGAUGCUUUCUGGUGGCUAGUGUGUCUUUUAUUACAGGUGGUCGGCGCUCUCGCCUGCAAGAAGAAAUCUUCUUGCCGCCCACCUCGCUGCCCGGGCGGCUGUAAACCUAAGUACUGGUGAUCGCCACACCAGCCGUCACACCGUCACCUCUCUGAACUUAUGACGGUAGUCGCCAUCAAAUUAAGUGAAAAUAAUAUGAGAAAUUUGCUGUGGUCGCUGUGGUGGUGUGUGUUGUGCCUCAUAGCGACCGUAGGGGGCUGCUGUAAAAAGAAGACAAUCUGCAGACCGCCGCCCGGCGGCAAGCCCGGGUGCGGCCGUGGCUGGUUAAACUGCUAGCUAAAGGAAAAAAUCAAGGAGAGGAACAAGAGAACUCAGGAAAUUUGAUGAUCGAGGCGCAAAAAACCUUAUAUUGGCAUAAUAAUUAUAAAGGCAUAUGUUUCAAUUCAUAAGACUUUUAUGGAAUCGGUUAACAAAGAACUUGAUACUACAUACAGCAAAUACUAAAAAAAUAUCUGGUUUAGUUAUGAUGUUUUCAAAUAUAGCUAUAAAUUACGAAACAAUUGGGAUGAAACCAUGGAGAUAAUAUCUUGUUUUUGCAGUUUUUAAGUGUCACUUUGUCAGAAAAAUGUAUGCCAUCCAAUAUCACAAUAAACAGCCAACAAGAAGAAGAAACUUUUACUUGUUAAGAAAUACUUGUCAAUAAUCUUUCUUUCGUUUUAGAAACUUUUAUAAUCAACUACAAAAAACUCUGUAAACAAUGCCUGUUAAGUUUUUAUACAUUGGUAUCUUGUGUACACUGUUAAAUUAAAUAAAACAAAAAUUCUUUGGCUUUUAA